rnacentral:rRNA from 1 species
AGAGUUUGAUCCUGGCUCAGAUUGAACGCUGGCGGCAUGCCCAACACAUGCAAGUCGAACGGCAGCACAGCAGUAGCAAUACUGUGGGUGGCGAGUGGCGGACGGGUGAGGAAUACGUCGGAAUCUGCCCAGUCGUGGGGGAUAACUAGCCGAAAGGUUAGCUAAUACCGCAUACGACCGAGAGGUGAAAGCGGGGGACCGCAAGGCCUCGCGCGAUUGGAUGAGCCGACGUCGGAUUAGCUAGUUGGCGGGGUAAAGGCCCACCAAGGCGACGAUCCGUAGCUGGUCUGAGAGGAUGAUCAGCCACACUGGAACUGAGACACGGUCCAGACUCCUACGGGAGGCAGCAGUGGGGAAUAUUGGACAAUGGGCGCAAGCCUGAUCCAGCAAUGCCGCGUGUGUGAAGAAGGCCUUCGGGUUGUAAAGCACUUUUAUCAGGAACGAAAAGCGUUGGAUUAAUACUCUGACGUGCUGACGGUACCUGAGGAAUAAGCACCGGCUAACUUCGUGCCAGCAGCCGCGGUAAUACGAAGGGUGCAAGCGUUAAUCGGAAUUACUGGGCGUAAAGCGUGCGUAGAUGGUUCGCUAAGUCGGAUGUGAAAGCCCCGGGCUCAACCUGGGAACUGCAUCCGAUACUGGCGGACUAGAGUGUGAUAGAGGAUGGCGGAAUUCCCGGUGUAGCGGUGAAAUGCGUAGAGAUCGGGAGGAACAUCCGUGGCGAAGGCGGCCAUCUGGAUCAACACUGACGUUGAGGCACGAAAGCGUGGGGAGCAAACAGGAUUAGAUACCCCGGUAGU